AGUUUUUAUUGCUUCUUGUCAAGGAGUAUUAGGUACAUUAUUUUGGUGUCUGUGGCAUUGUGAACCUUCUAAUGUUGAUAGGACGGCGAAUGCAUGUGGAUUAAUCAUGUUUGUUGGUGGUUCUUAUGUCUUUUUCAAAAGAUGAUAACUUCUGCUUUAUGUGAUGUCUAUUUUGUGAUUUAAGUAUUGCUGGGAACAUUGUAUGUUUGGUUCAUAGUGAAACUGUACUUAUUGAAGACUGUUUGAUAUAACGUGUCAAAUUGGUUUUACCAAGCGCCUGCAAUGAUAUGACGAGAACUGCUGAGAAUUGAUUUCCUAGGGUCAGUUUCUUCGUUGGAGAUGACAACGGUUGAUACCUGAAAUCUAGCGAGAGAUAUUGCUUCCACUGGAUCGGGCCCACUGUGCAAUUGGACUUUGAAUCUCAUCUCAUUCAUUGGUAAUUAAUUUUCAGUAGUUAAUGUUUGAUAGAAAACUGUUUUUCAUUAAAAUUGUCUAGGGAAUAUAUUUUCUGCGCUCUACAAGUGUUCUGCAUGCCAUGCGUUAUCGAUUUGCUUCAAGUUUAAAGGGAAUCUCAAUUCUGAUUGAAGAAAUAGCAUCUGAUUACAAACCUUGGAGUAGGUAUAAUGAUCACGAUAUAAUUUCAACACGAAGUCGCAUCGUCAUUCAGAAAAAAAUAUUUUCUAAUAUUAAUUGGACAACAAAAAAGAACCGAGGUCAUAGAUAUCUAUACACGUUCAUAUUUGAUUUCUUUAGAAUUCUCUUGCACUUCUUAAAUUAAACAACACCGAAAAUUCAUACGUCGUUGAUCGACUUGUCAGCACAAUGAUUAUAGCAAACCGGAAUAUUCAUUCUAUGCAAGUAUCUCGUUAUGAUUAUGGGAAUAUCAAUUCUAAAGAAAUAUUUUCUAAUAAUUGGAUUCCCUUUUCUUUCAAUCGAGUUGAUAUAUAAGGAGCAUAAUAGUAAAUCUAUAAUUUCAAAUUCUGUUUUGAAUUUUGCAGUUUUUAUCAUGCAGGUGCUAAAGGCGUUCUUGCACUAACGUGAAGAGAAAAAAAAUUGGGUAUGAAAUUAGGAUAUCAAAAUCAGUUUUGAAGAACUAGUGUUAGGGAUCUCUCUCUCUCUCUCUUUUUCUGUCUUCGAUGGUGACGAGUGAUAUAAUAUUCUUAAUUAUCUUCAUACCUCGGCUUAUCGGACAGACGCCUUGCAUACUCCCACCAAUAUUGUCUAUAUGAAGACAUUACUAUGUGUAUUCUGUACCUUUAAUUAAUUAUUCCUCCUCGUUCCCCUACAUUAAACUUUGGUUUCUUGAGUUUCAUCGUUCACUUUCAAUGAAUAAAGCUCUUCCAAAUUGCUGUAUUCCUUUCUCAAUCCCGUCAAUCAGCAUUAGGAAACACGAACCACGCUGUCUUAAACCAACUUGUCAUUUGAUUAGAUUCGCUCUUUCAAAUAAACCAAAUACUCCCUCAUUCUAUUCUCCUGUUCCCUAUAUACGUCAUCCUGUAUAUCUUAACUAUAAUUCAUUUCAUUGAACAAAUCAAUUCCAAUAUGUUUCAAUUUAGCCCGGGGCGAGUAGAUGUAGGGCUUACCGCCUUAUAAAAAAUGCAUACACAAUCCACAUCCGUGUGUGAGUUUAUAUGAGCAUGAUAACAAGAGAGCAAAAUUACUUUGAACUUGGAGUCCUAUACGGGUUGAUAUGUCUCUCUUCAAAUAUAGAUUAAUUACUGCGUAUUGACUCACAAGCAAAACAAAUUAGUUAAGGUUGCAUGCAGUGAAUGAAGGCGAAGAUUGAAGAAAAGUAAGAUACGUUUCUCGAAAAAGUAUUAUUCAGCUGCAAUUGAGUUGAAACAUGACUGAAAUUCCGAUUUUUUUUUUUAAUUUGGUAUUCCGCAGUGCUACCAAAUACUGUUUUUACAGUAUUCCUAAACUAAUGUUAUUCCUCAAUGAUUGAUCAAAAUGAAGUCACUGUGGUGAUUUGUUAGGGUAUUGAAGUGUGGGGGUGAAAGAACAAGUAUGAGAUAUUCCCCAUGAGGUUGGUACAUGUAGAUGUUAUCGAAACUAUGUCACUGGGGGAUAAGGAAUAUCAUAUUUCUGCCAGUAAUCAAUUCAAUUUGCAUUUCUUAUAUUGCAAAUCUUGAGCGAAUGUUGUCAAAAUCGAAUGGACGCUGAAAGAAUCAUAUUCUAAAAAGGAACAUUUUUAUAAGUAUUUUACUGCGUAUAUAAUGAGGUUGCGAGGGAGGGGGGAGAAAGACAGAGUCAUAUAAAUAGACAGAGAGGGAGAGAGACAGAGAGUUUAUAAACAAGGGGAAAUAUUCUUAUAGAGCAUGUAGACUGGAUAUAAAAUAUUGUUCGGGGUUGAAAAAUUGAAUAUAAAGUAAGACAUGAAAUGAAGAGACCCUUUUUCAUAAUGUUGACUAAUCACUAUAAAAGCAAUAUUGCCAUGGUAAUUUAUCACUGUUCGAAUGAGCAUAUAAAAUAGAUGAACAACGCCCGUCAACCAUGCCUUGUAAGAGAUUUCGACCAAUCUCCAUAUUUGGCUCAUUUCCGCCAGAAAAAGCUUCAUGAUAAUCGAACUUCAUUAGUAUCUGAUUAACGUGUCAACUAAAACGCCUCGAGGUGCGUCAAUAAUUGCUUUGUGGAUUGUUGUUUCUACGUAUUCCGCGUAAGUUUACAAUCGCUAUCUACUCCUUGAAAAUACAAUUCUCUCAAACUUUACCAAAAUUUGGUUUCAUUUUAGCCAAAAUCAGUGCCGGUGCCUCAGGCGGGCGGGUGAUGAUGCCUCCUACGAAUUUUACUUUUGAAAAACGUGGGCGAAUAUGAGAAAAGAAAAUGAAAGAAAGUAGCAAGAAGAGCAUGCAUGAACAAGAAAGCUUUGGUGGAUUCAAAUGGUUGUAUACAUUUAUUAUUGAAUUAAGAAAUGACAUCACCUUUAAGGGUCGUCCUGCCCCAUAGACCCCUUUCAAAAUAAUGUCAUGGGGCGCCCUGGCAAAAUAUUACUCAAGGUCCUAAUGAAGGCGGAAAGAUUUUUUUUCUUAAGUAAAAAGUAUAUUCUUAGGGUAAACCAACAUUUGCACCAUACCGUUACCGCAUAGGCCUAUUUUCGUCACUGCACUUCCUUCAAACAAUAGUAUUACCAAAAUAUGCGGUAAAUUUACCUUUACUGUCACAAAGAUGUGCAUUCGACAAGUGAGUAGCCUACAUUGUUUGGAUCACCUGCAAAUGCUCAUCAUCAUCUUCACCACACCAUAAUUGUCUUCCGUUUUGUCCAUGUCUGCUUCAAAUUAUCAGAUACGUAGUCUCGGGGGCAUACCCACCCCUCCCACCCCCCCCCCC